UACGUAGGGUGCAAGCGUUAAUCGGAAUUACUGGGCGUAAAGCAUGCGCAGGCGGUUUUGUAAGUCUGAUGUGAAAUCCCCGGGCUCAACCUGGGAAUUGCAUUGGAGACUGCAAGGCUAGAAUCUGGCAGAGGGGGGUAGAAUUCCACGUGUAGCAGUGAAAUGCGUAGAGAUGUGGAGGAACACCGAUGGCGAAGGCAGCCCCCUGGGUCAAGAUUGACGCUCAUGCACGAAAGCGUGGGGAGCAAACAGG
rnacentral:rRNA from 1 species